GACAGAGGGGGCAAGCGUUGCUCGGAAUCACUGGGCGUAAAGGGCGCGUAGGCGGGAUGGCAAGUCGGUCGUGAAAUCCUUCGGCUCAACCGAAGAACGUCGGCCGAUACUGCCGUUCUUGAGGGAUGCAGAGGAGAUUGGAAUUCCCGGUGUAGCGGUGAAAUGUGUAGAGAUCGGGAGGAACACCAGUGGCGAAGGCGACUUCUUGGCCUGUUCUUGACGCUGAGGCGCGAAAGCUGGGGGAGCAAACGGG
rnacentral:rRNA from 1 species